rnacentral:rRNA from 1 species
CGAGGCACUACGGUGCUGAAGCAACAAAUGCCCUGCUUCCAGGAAAAGCCUCUAAGCAUCAGGUAACAUCAAAUCGUACCCCAAACCGACACAGGUGGUCAGGUAGAGAAUACCAAGGCGCUUGAGAGAACUCGGGUGAAGGAACUAGGCAAAAUGGUGCCGUAACUUCGGGAGAAGGCACGCUGACACGUAGGUGAAGUGAUUUACUCAUGGAGCUGAAGUCAGUCGAAGAUACCAGCUGGCUGCAACUGUUUAUUAAAAACACAGCACUGUGCAAACACGAAAGUGGACGUAUACGGUGUGACGCCUGCCCGGUGCCGGAAGGUUAAUUGAUGGGGUCAGCGCAAGCGAAGCUCCUGAUCGAAGCCCCGGUAAACGGCGGCCGUAACUAUAACGGUCCUAAGGUAGCGAAAUUCCUUGUCGGGUAAGUUCCGACCUGCACGAAUGGCGUAAUGAUGGCCAGGCUGUCUCCACCCGAGACUCAGUGAAAUUGAACUCGCUGUGAAGAUGCAGUGUACCCGCGGCAAGACGGAAAGACCCCGUGAACCUUUACUAUAGCUUGACACUGAACAUUGAGCCUUGAUGUGUAGGAUAGGUGGGAGGCUUUGAAGUGUGGACGCCAGUCUGCAUGGAGCCGACCUUGAAAUACCACCCUUUAAUGUUUGAUGUUCUAACGUGGACCCGUUACCCGGGUUGCGGACAGUGUCUGGUGGGUAGUUUGACUGGGGCGGUCUCCUCCUAAAGAGUAACGGAGGAGCACGAAGGUUGGCUAAUCCUGGUCGGACAUCAGGAGGUUAGUGCAAUGGCAUAAGCCAGCUUGACUGCGAGCGUGACGGCGCGAGCAGGUGCGAAAGCAGGUCAUAGUGAUCCGGUGGUUCUGAAUGGAAGGGCCAUCGCUCAACGGAUAAAAGGUACUCCGGGGAUAACAGGCUGAUACCGCCCAAGAGUUCAUAUCGACGGCGGUGUUUGGCACCUCGAUGUCGGCUCAUCACAUCCUGGGGCUGAAGUAGGUCCCAAGGGUAUGGCUGUUCGCCAUUUAAAGUGGUACGCGAGCUGGGUUUAGAACGUCGUGAGACAGUUCGGUCCCUAUCUGCCGUGGGCGCUGGAGAACUGAGGGGGGCUGCUCCUAGUACGAGAGGACCGGAGUGGACGCAUCACUGGUGUUCGGGUUGUCAUGCCAAUGGCACUGCCCGGUAGCUAAAUGCGGAAGAGAUAAGUGCUGAAAGCAUCUAAGCACGAAACUUGCCCCGAGAUGAGUUCUCCCUGAGACUUAGAGUCUCCUGAAGGAACGUUGAAGACGACGACGUUGAUAGGCCGGGUGUGUAAGCGCAGCGAUGCGUUGAGCUAACCGGUACUAAUGAACCGUGAGGCUUAACCUU